CAGGCGGUCUGUCAAGUCGGAUGUGAAAUCCCCGGGCUCAACCUGGGAACUGCAUUCGAAACUGGCAGGCUUGAGUCUUGUAGAGGGGGGUAGAAUUCCAGGUGUAGCGGUGAAAUGCGUAGAGAUCUGGAGGAAUACCGGUGGCGAAGGCGGCCCCCUGGACAAAGACUGACGCUCAGGUGCGAAAGCGUGGGGAGCAAACAGGAUUAGAUACCCUGGUAGUCCACGCCGUAAACGAUGUCUACUUGGAGGUUGUGCCCUUGAGGCGUGGCUUCCGGAGCUAACGCGUUAAGUAGACCGCCUGGGGAGUACGGCCGCAAGGUUAAAACUCAAAUGAAUUGACGGGGGCCCGCACAAGCGGUGGAGCAUGUGGUUUAAUUCGAUGCAACGCGAAGAACCUUAC
rnacentral:rRNA from 1 species